rnacentral:rRNA from 1 species
UACAGAGGGUGCAAGCGUUGUUCGGAAUUACUGGGCGUAAAGGGCGUGUAGGUGCGUUAGCAAGUCAGAUGUGAAAUCCCGGGGCUUAACUCCGGAAGUGCAUUUGAAACUGCUAGGCUAGAGUGUAGUAGAGGAUGGCGGAAUUCCCAGUGGAGAGGUGAAAUUCGUAGAUAUUGGGAGGAACACCGGUGGCGAAGGCGGCCAUCUGGGCUACAACUGACGCUGAGGCGCGAGAGCGUGGGGAGCAAACAGG